rnacentral:rRNA from 1 species
UACGUAGGGUGCAAGCGUUAAUCGGAAUUACUGGGCGUAAAGCGUGCGCAGGCGGUUAUGUAAGACAGAUGUGAAAUCCCCGGGCUCAACCUGGGAACUGCAUUUGUGACUGCACAGCUGGAGUGCGGCAGAGGGGGAUGGAAUUCCGCGUGUAGCAGUGAAAUGCGUAGAGAUGUGGAGGAAUACCGAUGGCGAAGGCAGCCCCCUGGGAUAACACUGACGCUCAUGCACGAAAGCGUGGGGAGCAAACAGG